ensembl:lncRNA
AAAUAUGUUAGGUCCAAACAUUCAGGGAAAGAAAAAUGUCAACAACAAGAAAUAUCGGGUCAAACUUUUCACCAAAAAAAAAGUUUAAAAAAUGUUCAUGAAAAUGAAGUCACUGAAAAAGUGUUUUGAUGUUUUGAGAAAAAGUCAAAAUAUGUUGUGUGGAAAAAAGUCUAAAAAUUAUGGAAAAUGGUCGGAAAAUAUUUUAGUUCAAAAGUCAAAAUAUCAUCGAAUAAUAUCAUGGAUCAAAAAAGUAAAAAAAUCUUAGGUCAAAAUAUGUUUUGAAAAAAACCUUCAGCCGUGAAUCAGAUACCUGACGAAUAAUCCUGAUUCCUCCUGUUGCUGCUGUCUCACUGACUCCGACUAGUGUUUCCAUGGCGAUGACGCUUCGCUGCGUCAUGAGUAAGCACCACGAGGUGUGUGUCUGUCUGUGUGUCUGUGCGUCUGUGUGUGUGUGUGUGUGUGUCUCACUUAGACGUGCUAAGAAUCCAAAGGUGAUGCUGCACUCCCAAGCGUCUUCUAACACACACACACACACACUAAUCACCCUGCCGCCUCACGUAGAUGUGAUAAUAGCUAAUUCAUCAUUGUGUAGGAAUAUUCCCUGCGUGUGUUUGUGCGUUUGUGUGUGUGUCUCUUUCCUUUAAUGUCAAGUCCAGCGAUGCAGAUCAGAGCAGACUUACAUUCACUGAUUAGACAAAGACACACACUCACCGACGACUCUCUCAAACCUCACAUGGAUGCAAACCACACACACACACACACACACACACACACACACACACAAUACAGCCUGAAACACAAAGACCUGCCCAAUUAAGAAGACUGAUGUAGCGCAACAAAUUCAAUUAUAUCUCAUUGUAUAAUUACAUGUGACUAAAUUAAAGGCAGGAAGGAUGGAAGGAAGGAAGGAAGGAGGAGAAGGUCUCAACCUGAACAUCAUAGCGUGAUGGAGGGAGAGGAGAGGAGAGGAGGUUCAAACCAGACCGACGAGGCUGAAAGGGAGGAGCGGCACGCGAGAAUCCUCCACCGUUACUGAGUGAGGGAUGAAGGAGAGAAGGUGGAGGAAGGAACAGAGGGUUUAUGGAGGCGAUGAAGGGUGGACGGACGGAGGGGACGACGGUGGAGAUAAACGAGAAGACCGAGAGGUGGAAUAGAACGUCUGCUGAGAGCAUGCCAGAGAGGAUUAUGGGAAGGAAGGAGAAUUAAAGAAAAAAUGAAUAAACCUGAAGAGAAGGAUGAAGAGGAACAGAGGAAGAGGAGGGAUUAGGGGGGGGGGGGUGCUCCCCCAGGAUGGGUUGUAGCACCGGGAGUUGAGAUAUUUUCAGUUCAGCCAGCGGUCUCCUCUCCUCGCUGUUGGUUCUAUCUUUAGAGCGUUACACAACAAAGGUUCUCAUCACCGGCCAACAUGGUUCCACUCAGCAAAUGAAGAUAAUGGAAGGUGAUGAAGAUGAUGGAAGGUGAUGAAGAUGAUGGAAGGUGAUGAAGAUGAUGGAAGAUAAUGGAAGGUGAUGAAGAUAAUGGAAGGUGAUGAAGAUGAUGGUAGGGGAUGGAAGAUAAUGGAAGGGGAUGAAGAUAUGGAAAGAUAAUGGAAGGUGAUGAAGAAAAUGGAAGGUGAUGAAGAUGAUGGUAGGGGAUGCCUGAGAAUCAGAAGUGUUCAGAAGGUCAAUUGGAGACUUUUCGUAUUGCUUUUGUCAAAUAGCUGCAGAUGUUGCAGAUGUUGUGCAUCUGGAUGGAGGUCAAGAAAACCCAGAUGAAAGGAGGUGGAGCGAAAUAUUUAAGAACUGUAACAGAGAAGAUUUGGGGGUGGGGGGGUGGAGGCUGAUGGAGGGCAGGAGUGAUGGAGCGAGAACAGCUGGAGGGCAGAGAGCGUGAUGGAGGGAGCUUAAAGAGAGGGAGAAAUGGAUGGAUGAAGUAACGAGGAGAGGGGAGGCACAUAGAGAGAGAACUUUCUCCCAUUGGAGACUGAGCUGCAACUGAGCUUUAAUGCUUAAUGUAACAUGUUCAUGUGGUCAUAUGUUCAUGGUUCAUAUGUUCAUGUUUCAUGUGUUCAUAUGUUCAUGUUAUCUGUGUUCAUUUU